UAGUCCACGCCGUAAACGAUGAGCACUAGGUGUCGGGGUCGCGAGGCCUCGGUGCCGCAGCUAACGCAUUAAGUGCUCCGCCUGGGGAGUACGCUCGCAAGAGUAAAACUCAAAGGAAUUGACGGGGACCCGCACAAGCAGCGGAGCAUGUGGUUUAAUUCGAAGCAACGCGAAGAACCUUACCAAGGCUUGACAUCCUUUUGAACCAUUCUUAAUCGGAUACUCUCUUCGGAGCAAAAGUGACAGGUGGUGCAUGGUUGUCGUCAGCUCGUGUCGUGAGAUGUUGGGUUAAGUCCCGCAACGAGCGCAACCCUUAUCUUUAGUUGCCAGCAGUUCGGCUGGGCACUCUAGAGAGACUGCCGGGGAUAACUCGGAGGAAGGUGGGGAUGACGUCAAAUCAUCAUGCCCCUUAUGUCUUGGGGCUACACACGUGCUACAAUGGCAAGUACAAAGAGCAGCGAAAGGGUGACCUGGGAGCAAAUCUAUAAAGCUUAGUCUCA
rnacentral:rRNA from 1 species